AUCCUUGUAGCGCAAUGGAGAGCGUGUUGGACAUCUAAUCCAAGGGUCGUGUAUUCGAAUCCUACCUGGGAUG